UAGCCACACGCCCACACCUCUCCUCCUCGCAUCUCUCAGGAGCGGCGGCGUGCCCCUCCGGCUCAACGCGGAGUAGAGCGACAGCACACCCCUCCGGUGCGGCAUGUGAACCUAAGCAGCGGCGCAGACCAGAGCUGCAGCGCCCUCCCGUCCCCUUCCCUCGACCCCAAGCCACGGCACGGUUUCGAGGCAACGGCGCGCUCCCUGGGCGGCGACGCGGCCUGGCACGGCCCCAAGACGCUGGUGCAUGCACCCAUCAAGCUCUUCGAGGGGCCAGUCCCCUGGCGGCUGUGCAUCCAGGCCCGGAGCUGCAACUCGUGUCCAGUAGGUUCCCCUCCAUAAUCCUAAUCUAAUCGAUUUGGCUUUGAUUUCAAUAUCUAUGCUGCAGAUCUAGUGAAGGGGAGGAGGAGGAGUAGAUCUAAUGAUGAUUUGGUGACUCCGUCUGCCUAUUUCCUUGAUGAAGACUUCCUAAGAGCAGAGUUAGGAAACCGACCAUUGCAGAUUCAAGGUCUAUUCCUACCGCUACAGUUUAGUUGCAUGAAUUUAUGUGUUGUUAUUUAUUAUUCUUAUAAUUUUUUGGCCUGAUGAGUUACUGAGUCCUGAUUGGUACAUCUAACUGAAGUAGGGUGUUUUAGAUUUUGGCCUGAUGAGUUACCGACCAUCAAGGAAAUCUACUGAGUCCUGAUUGGUACAUCUAACUGAAGUAGGGUGUUUUAUUAUUCUUAUAAUUUUUUGGCCUGAUGAGUUACCGACCAUCGCAGAUUGUUACAGUUUAGUAGCAUAUGUUUCAUCCAUAGGGUGUUUUAGAUUUUGGUAAAUUAGCAUGGGUGUUUUCUGUAUGGUCAGUAUGAAGGAAUUGGAAAGGCCAACUUUUGAUGCUAUCUUUGACAGGUAAGAGAACCAAAAUGAGCUUUCUGAGGCAUGUAUUUGUUAUAUGCAGUGGAUCUUCACUAUGUACUGAAUCAGGGCAAAUAAGAGUAGCAGCAAAAAUUCUACAUAUGGGUGAUACUUAGUGAUUUGUUGAUAAUGAGUUUUGCUCCAUUAACUAGUGAUUGUCUUGCCUAGAGAAAACUAGAAUAAGAGUAGCUGCAGAACUGAGGCGUUACUUAGUUGUUUAACUUCUGCAUCCUGAGUUCCUGACACAAGCACUUGUGUAUUUGUUAGAUUUUUUGUGAUUUGUUUGCACCUGUGAUUUGUAAAGUAACCAAUCUUAUUUCAUGUUGAUGCAAGAUGUGACCAGACUGGAUCUGCCUUCUAGAUAGCGAGCAGCAGUGCUUGGGCCGGUGGUUCCAUGGAUCUGUUCGUCUGCUGCUAUGUGGUAUACAACUAAUGAGAAUUGAAUAGGGAUAGUUAGUGAUUUGAUUUGAGGAUGAAUUUUGUGAGGAUGUGUGCUGGUUAUCUACUGAAUAAAAUUAUUUUUACUCAAUCUACUUUGGUGCAUGAUGAGUUGAAAAGCACAUCUGUAGGUAUAACAGGAUACGAAUGUUUGAGAAUUAAUAUGCUAGGAACAUCUGAUAAUCAGUACGGAGUAUGUUAAGAAAUUAAUGCAUUCUUGCUAUUUUUCAGACUAAGCAUAGCCUGCAGGCUAUAUUAAGGAACCACAGCAGGGCACUAGAGCACGACACUAUGACAUUGCAACUAGACCACAAAAUUAGUAAGUUGAGAACAUUGUUAUAGGUGUAUAUAAAAGAUCUACAUGCUUUUAGUAUGUAGUCCUGAGCUGAUCUAUCUAAUUAAACUAGAACCGUUAUAUCUUGUUCCACAAUCAGUAUUAUUUUAACUGCUUAUUGCUUCCUUAUUUCAGGCAUAUAGUGCACAUAGUUAAUUACAAGUGACUGUGAUGCAGGUAUCUAUUGGCUAAGUUAAUAUUUCUAUUAAAUUGCCUCGUAGUUGGACUAUCUAGGAUCAUGUGAUGCAGAGCCCACAGACCUACGGUAUGGAAACAGGCAUGGAGUUAGUGUUAUCUAACGUGGAUGCACAUGGCGACGUAGGGCAGCAGGGAAGCACCUUGCCUUUCUUGUCGAUUGGCAUUGGGUCAAUGGUGAUAAGUGUAGCUUUACUAACAUGUACAGCACCUCCUUUAGUAUUUGUUGAUGUUCCACUACACUUGUCAUCAUGUGAAUAUUUUAAACUAGGCAAACAUAGUGUGUAUGCUACUUAUAAUGUUGUAAUUGUAUUGCAUUUUAAAACUUGAAUGCUUGUGAUAUUGCAAUGAUUUGUGGAGAUUACUUAUUUGAA